AUUGAACGCUGGCGGCAGGCUUAACACAUGCAAGUCGAACGAGUGGCGGACGGGUGAGUAAUGCUUGGGAAUCUAGCUUCUGGCGGGGGAUAGCUACGGGAAACUGUAGCUAAUACCGCGUACCAUAGGAUGAGCCCAAGUGGGAUUAGCUAGUUGGUGAGGUAAUGGCUCACCAAGGCGACGAUCCCUAGCUGGUCUGAGAGGAGGAUCAGCCAAACUGGGACGGAGAAACGGCCCAGACUCCUACGGGAGGCAGCAGUGGGGAAUAUUGCACAAGGGGCGCAAGCCGGAUGCAGCCAUGCCGCGUGUAUGAAGAAGGCCCUAGGGUUGUAAAGUACUUUCAGUCGGGAGGCGUUACCGACAGAAGAAGCACCGGCUAACUCCGUGCCAACAGCCGCGGUAAUUC
rnacentral:rRNA from 1 species